CCAGCGGAAAACAGAGCAGGGAGGGCUCUUCCUGCCCGGGGGAGGCUUCCCAGGAGUGUGAGGGAUUUACAGUCACCUCCUCUGGCUCCCCAUCCCCUGCAGAGUCGCCCUGAAGGCCAUGUGCAGCGGCAGGCUGCAGACAGCUCUGCUGGUGGCUGGCUACUUUGCCUACCUGCUGGUGGGUGCUGCCGUGUUCCAGGCCCUGGAGAGGACCGCUGAGAAGCAGGAGAAAAUGGCAGCUGCCCAGAUGAAGGAGGCUUUUCUGCAGAACUUCACGCAGCUCACAGUGGCGGAGAUGGAGCAGUUCAUGAAGAACCUGAUUGAAGCCAUUCAAAAUGGAGUAUACCCUGUUGGCAAUGAGUCACAGUUUGAAGAGAGCAACUGGGAUUUCAGCAACUCCUUCUUCUUUGCAGGCACAGUUGUCUCCACAAUUGGUUAUGGCACAUUACAUCCUAAAACUGCUGGGGGACAGAUAUUUUGUGUGUUUUUUGCUCUUUUUGGAAUCCCUCUGAACAUUGUUUUUCUGCACCGUGUCGGUAAGAUGCUCUCACUGCUCUGUAAAAAGCUGGGGAAAUUCCUGUACGAGAAAGGAAUGAGAAAGAAGAAGAUCAAAUUUCUGACCCUUUUGUUCUUCCUGGCAACGGGGAUCCUGGUUUUUCUGUGCUUGCCAUCAGUCUUCUUCCAGAUAACAGAGGGCUGGUCCUACAGUGAAGGAAUUUACUUUGCAUUUAUCACCCUCAGCACCAUUGGCUUUGGAGAUUAUGUUGUAGGCAAACAGUCUGACAGGAAAUACUUUUCCUACUAUCGAGUGCUUGUGGCCAUUUGGAUUCUUUUUGGCCUUGCCUGGAUUGCUCUGCUGUUUAAUUUAUUGACAACAGUACUAGAAGAUACUGAAAAAAUAAUUGUCAAGGAUCUCCAGCAAAUUGGAAAGUGCACAUUCCUGUGUCCCAUCCAGCUGAUCAGCUGAGAAAUGGAGCAAUCAGCCCUGUAGAAAGGAUCUGAGAACAUUGGCACAGGUGUUCCCAGAGAAAGAAGACAAUAUGCCCUCAAGUCUCUGUAGUAAGGGUUUGGAUCCAGGCCACUGAAGACCAGCAUGUGAGGCCUAAUCCCGUAAAAACAGUCAAUGUUUGGAUGGGAAACGUGUCACUGAUCUGGAGCCAGGUGGGUGCAGACUUCCGUGGGAGGAUGAGUCAAGAGAGCUCUGGCACCAUCUGCAAAAGGACCUGAUGCUGUGGGAGAGAGCUCAGCAAGUGUAAAAACCCAUGAGGAAGCAGGGAUGGUCCAAAGAAAAACCCACAAUUCCCCUGGUUGUCCUUGGAGCAUUCUGGAGAUCACUGCAAGACCAAGCACUUGAAGUGUUUCCCUUCCACCUCUGAGCCAUGAGACAGGGAUGGUCUGUUCCUCACACAGCUUCUCUGGAGGAACUCCAGCCUUGAGCACAGAGCUGGCAGCUGGCAGGGUGCCACUGGCUUUGCCAGAUCUGACCACAGCUGGUCCCGAUGCAAUAAAAUGUUGAAUCACCAGAAUCUGAGAAUGUGAUUGUCUGGAGGGUCACCAAGAAAAAUCAGCAAAGACUCGAUGGCACCUUGCAAUGCAUUUGCCAGUUCCAGGCUCUGUGGAAACCUCACCUGUCAAAUUUCCUCCAAACUGGGCUCAGAUGCUUGAAUUUGCCAGUGGGGAAAAGCAUUUCUGAUAACUCUGCCCAACUUAAGCUUGCAAAGAAACCUCAAGUAGAGAGAGCCUCGCAAUGAAUAAAGGUUUGUCUCACAAAAUUCCCAUGCCCCAAGGGGGUGCAACCCACUCACCCAAAACCAAGAGCAAAUGUGUGACAGAAAGGAUGCAUUGGGAUACUGGGUGCAGCUCAGCAUCCAUGAUGGUUCAUGAGUGAUCCAUCAGCUCUGCCAGCCACUGGAAUGGGUUUUUUCUGCUUCCCCUCCAUCUGCCAGCUCAGCAAGACAUCUCCACAGGGAUCUACACAUAUCCUGAGACACCUUCAAACAGGCUUCCCUGUCACUGCAGCCCAACACAGUUUCCAUAAAGUAUAGAAGGACCUGAAGGCCUUGAGUAAGAUCAGUUUCACUGGUUGCCCAGAAAAAAACUGUGGCUGCCCCAUAUUCCGAAGGGUUGGAUGGGGCUUGGAGCAGCCUGGUGUUGUGGAAGGUGUCCCUGCCCAUGGAACUGGCAGGGGAUGGAACAGGGUGAUCUGUAAGGUCCCUCCCAACCCAAACUAUUCAGUGCUUUCUAUGAUUACCAUGAUUUCACCAGCUUUACACCCACUCAGACCUGCCACAGACUGGUGAAAGCCCCUUCAUUCCCACUCUAGCUGUCCUUAAGGUCACAUUUUGUGGUGUUAGCACCAUCAAGACCUGCACAUCAAUCUGGAUCUGUCCUCCAUCUGUCCUGCAUCCUUAUCUCAUGUGUUUUCAAGGAGCUCAGCAGAAAUUUAUGGAUCAAAGCUAAUCGAUAAUACCGGAGCCCUUUCACCAUAUUGCUUUCACUAAAUUACUGCAUCCUUUAAAAACAGAAAUCUUAGCAGACCGCAGUACAAUGCCAGACAGACUGUCACUUCCAAAUUAUGUUUAUUUAUUCUCCCUCUGCCUCUUGGCUGGCCCCAUUACCAGCAUAUCUCAGUGUCUCUCAGCCAUCAGCAUAUU